rnacentral:rRNA from 1 species
GCCCAAUAGCUAGCCCGCCCUAAUAAAACCAACAUACCCUAUCAAUACCCACAAAUACACUAUUAGCAUUAAACAAAACAUUUUUCCUCCCCAGUACGGGCGACGGAAGAGGAACCAGGAGCAAUAGAGAAAGUACCGCAAGGGAAAGCUGAAAGAGAAAUGAAAUAACCCAGUAAAGCCUAAAAAAGCAGAGACACAACCUCGUACUUU